GCUUGUCUCAAAGAUUAAGCCAUGCAUGUCUAAGUAUAAACGAAUUUAUACUGUGAAACUGCGAAUGGCUCAUUACAUCAGUUAUAGUUUAUUUGAUGGUCCUUGCUACUUGGAUAACCGUAGUAAUUCUAGAGCUAAUACAUGCAUAAAACCCUAACUUCUGGAAAGGGUGUAUUUAUUAGAUAAAAAACCAAUCCGGCAACGGUGCUUGGUGAUUCAUAAUAACUGUUCGAAGCGCACGGCCUCGCGCCGGCGCUAGUUCAUUCAAAUUUCUGCCCUAUCAGCUUUCGACGGUAGUGUAGUGGACUACCGUGGCGCUAACGGGUGACGGAGAAUUAGGGUUCGGUUCCGGAGAGGGAGCCUGAGAAACGGCUACCACAUCCAAGGAAGGCAGCAGG
rnacentral:rRNA from 1 species